GAAUACUCAAUAUAUGACGACCCAACAUGAUAUACAAACUUAUACAUGUGACAUACAGGCCUAUAAGGCCGACAUGACCAUUUGUAAACUCAACACAUAGGCCAACAAGGCUAUAAAAGUAUCCAUAAACCCGAUAUCUGUCUACAAGCCUCUAAGAGUACAUAAAAUCAUAGGUCGGGACAUGGCCCUCCAUACCAAUCAAUACAUAUCCAAAGCAUACUAACCAAAUAGGCAACUCCGGAGUAAGUGGAGUGCACCAACACCUCCGCUGAGCUGAUAGCCUACUAGGAAGACUGUCAACCAAUCAGUCGGGACCUGCGGGCAUGAAACACAGCAUCCCCAGGCAAAAGGAAUGUCAGUAUAAAUAAAGUACCGAGUAUGUAAGGCAGAAAAGCAUAAACAAGAACAUUAAUGUAAAGAGAGAUAGAGGAGAUACAACCUGUAACAUAUGAGUGCCUCUGAGGGCUACUACCAUGAAAUGCAUAAUACAUAUAUAUACAUAAACAUUUAAAACAUAACCCUCUAUAGGCAUUAUCAUCAUCAUCAUAUCGUACCCGGCCACAAAGAGGAUUUGGUAAAAACGUACCUGGCCAUCAUAAGGCUCGGUAGAAUCGUACCUGGCCACAUGGAGCUCGAUAAAUCCAACUGAUCAGUGGUUGCACAAUAGGUGUCGUACCCGGCCUACUAUAGCGUGGCUUGGUAGAGUAAAAUAGAUACUAUAUAUAUUGCAUGCUAGACUCAUAGAAUCACGUUCUAAACCUUUUGGAGUGACUUAAGGUUGUUGCACCUUCGAUUAACAUUAUGGACAUUAUACCAUCAAUAUGAGAUUCUAUAGGAUUCAAGGAUCAUACAUACUUGCUUAAAAUAACUUUAUAAGGAAAGAACAACAUGGACAACCUUAGUUUCUAGGAGUAGAUCCGUUAUGAAAUAACGUAUUCAUUUCACUUUACAUCAUGCCAAAAGAAAGAGGGAAGUGCCUUAACAUACCUUAACCAUGGUGAGUCCUUAAUAACUCCCAAGCUACUCUUCAGACAACUCAACUCAAUAUACCAUUGCAUAAGGAGAUUCAAAUUAGUGUUGAAUAAAGGCUAAGUCUGCAACUUAAACUUGUAGCUCGUUUAUAUAAAUUCGGGCAGCAUCUCCCCUGUAACAAGAGCCUCCUCCAAUAUCAUAUACCAACAACAAUUACCAGAGAAAUCCAGCAAUACAUAAUUAUCAAUAACAAGACACCAUAAAAUAACAACAAGUCAUAACUAUUUUAAGAUGAGCGACAAGCUCCAAUUGGAAUUCGUAUACCCCAUAUCAUCCCUUAUAGACUUUUUACUUUAAUUUAAUAGUAUCAUUAACAUGAUAAUGAAGUCAUUCAUCAAUAAUUCCAGACUUAUACCAUAUAUCCAUAACAAAGAAACUGAUCCACAACACCAAUUAUUCGUAAUUAGCAACUUUAUUCACUAGUUCAUGUCUACUUCAUCCAUUUAACUUAACCGAUAUCAAUAUAACCUUAAGCACCUGUAGGAACACAAUAUAAUUACCUCCUACAGUAGAUGCAAGUCGAAAUCCAUGUUAUAUUUAGCUUACAACAGCCCAACACACCCCAAUCGAUUCAUACCCAAAACGACGACUAUAAUAGUGUCAAACACCCCGAAAAUAAUACAAAGAAUGACUAAUCCAUCAUUUCGCCAUUAAGUGGUGUUUCUCCACACCAUUUAUCCUCCAAAAACUCCAUUAAAUAGAAGCAAAAUAUACAAACCAAAAGCUACACAAAACAGCCCAUAAAAUAGUACAUUACAAAUCAAAUAACUCGAACUCACGACUUCCGAUCGCCAUCCCGUGAGUUCUAACUAUUAUGAAAUGAAUUAAUCAACCUUUCUUGAUAUUUAAGAUCUUAAAACCAGAAAUUAGAAAUUUUUAUUAAUUUCAAAAUACCUUCCAAAUUUCAAACUACAAAGAAAAAGAGAGGCAAUAUAGCAAUACUAACGCUGUGGGAAUCGUUCUAGUUUUAUUGCUUCUUGAUUUCGUUCCCGGGAUGAUGGUAUUGUUUGAAAUCCUUGUAGAGAGAUUAAGGGUGAUGUUAGGGUCUU
rnacentral:lncRNA from 1 species